CGAAAGCCUGACGGAGCAACGCCGCGUGAGGGAUGGAGACCUUUGGGCUGUAAACCUCUUUUCUCAAGGAAGAAGAUCUGACGGUACUUGAGGAAUAAGCCACGGCUAAUUCCGUGCCAGCAGCCGCGGUAAUACGGGAGUGGCAAGCGUUAUCCGGAAUUAUUGGGCGUAAAGCGUCCGCAGGCGGCCGUUUAAGUCUGUUGUUAAAUCGUGGAGCUCAACUCCAUCACGGCAAUGGAAACUGUUCGGCUUGAGUAUGGUAGGGGCAGAGGGAAUUUCCGGUGUAGCGGUGAAAUGCGUAGAUAUCGGGAAGAACACCAGCGGCGAAAGCGCUCUGCUGGGCCAUUACUGACGCUCAUGGACGAAAGCCAGGGGAGCGAAAGGGAUUAGAUACCCCUGUAGUCCUGGCCGUAAACGAUGAACACUAGAUGUUGGGGGAAUCGACCCCCUCGGUGUCGUAGCUAACGCGUUAAGUGUUCCGCCUGGGGAGUACGCACGCAAGUGUGAAACUCAAAGGAAUUGACGGGGGCCCGCACAAGCGGUGGAGUAUGUGGUUUAAUUCGAUGCAACGCGAAGAACCUUACCAAGGCUUGACAUCCUGCGAAUCUCUAAGAAAUUAGAGAGUGCCUUCGGGAACGCAGUGACAGGUGGUGCAUGGCUGUCGUCAGCUCGUGUCGUGAGAUGUUGGGUUAAGUCCCGCAACGAGCGCAACCCACGUUUUUAGUUGCCAGCAUUCAGUUGGGCACUCUAGAAAGACUGCCGGUGACAAACCGGAGGAAGGUGUGGACGACGUCAAGUCAUCAUGCCCUUUACGCCUUGGGCUACACACGUACUACAAUGCUGCGGACAAAGAGUAGCGAUCUUGCGAAAGUUAGCUAAUCUCAUAAACCGUGGCUCAGUUCAGAUCGUAGGCUGCAACUCGCCUACGUGAAGGAGGAAUCGCUAGUAAUCGCAGGUCAGCAUACUGCGGUGAAUACGUUCCCGGGCCUUGUACACACCGCCCGUCACACCAUGGAAGUUGGCCAUGCCCGAAGUCGUUACUCUAACCUUUUGGAAGAGGGCGCCGAAGGCAGGGCUAAUGACUGGGGUGAAGUCGUAACAAGGUAGCCGUAGCGGAAGCUGCGGCUGGAUCACCUCCUAA
rnacentral:rRNA from 1 species